AUGGACGAAAGUCUGACGGAGCAACGCCGCGUGAGUGAUGACGGCCUUCGGGUUGUAAAGCUCUGUUAAUCGGGACGAAUGGUUCUUGUGCAAAUAGUGCGAGGAUUUGACGGUACCGGAAUAGAAAGCCGCGGCUAACUACGUGCCAGCAGCCGCGGUAAUACGUAGGUGGCAAGCGUUGUCCGGAAUUAUUGGGCGUAAAGCGCGCGCAGGCGGAUUGUCAGUCUGUCUUAAAAGUUCGGGGCUUAACCCCGUGAUGGGAUGGAAACUGCCAAUCUAGAGUAUCGGAGAGGAAAGUGGAAUUCCUAGUGUAGCGGUGAAAUGCGUAGAUAUUAGGAAGAACACCAGUGGCGAAGGCGACUUUCUGGACGAAAACUGACGCUGAGGCGCGAAAGCCAGGGGAGCGAACGGGAUUAGAUACCCCGGUAGUCCUGGCCGUAAACGAUGGGUACUAGGUGUAGGAGGUAUCGACCCCUUCUGUGCCGGAGUUAACGCAAUAAGUACCCCGCCUGGGGAGUACGACCGCAAGGUUGAAACUCAAAGGAAUUGACGGGGGCCCGCACAAGCGGUGGAGUAUGUGGUUUAAUUC
rnacentral:rRNA from 1 species